rnacentral:rRNA from 1 species
UACGUAGGGUGCGAGCGUUUGUCCGGAAUUAUUGGGGCGUAAAGAGCUUGUAGGCGGUUUGUCGCGUCUGCCGUGAAAAUUCGAGGCUCAACCUCGAACUUGCGGUGGGUACGGGCAGACUAGAGUGUGGUAGGGGGAGACUGGAAUUCCUGGUGUAGCGGUGAAAUGCGCAGAUAUCAGGAGGAACACCGAUGGCGAAGGCAGGUCUCUGGGCCACUACUGACGCUGAGAAAGCGAAAGCAUGGGGGAGCGAACGGG